rnacentral:lncRNA from 1 species
GCAACAUUUCCAAACAGAACUUGGAACCCUUGCUAACGGGCAUCACAAUCUAGUAACAGCUGUCUCCUGACCUCACUUGGGCGGAGACAGUCAACGUUGAACAUGCUGAGCUGCUUCUCCACUUCGAGAGGCCGCAGCCUCAGGACCCCAGGCAGAGAAAGUAUCUGUGAAAGAUUAAGAAGAUGGCUGACUCCAUCCAGACACCACAGGCCACACUGCAGCAGCCGCAUGACUGUCACAGAUACCCCAGGGAUGGUCUCCCCAGGAAUGACCAACAGUGACCUACCAAAAUCAAGGAAUGCCUUGUCCCCCUUUUAACAAGCCCUGUCUGCAUUAGCUGCUAUCAACAGAUGCCUCACACACUAUCUCCAGAGGUCUCGAGUACACCCUGCCCUAUUUCUUCCCACGCUGUGUCAUCAAUAAAUACUGGAGGUCUUGGGAUACCUGGGUUCUUUGCUGCCAGCUCAGCUCAGACCAUCCCAGAUUCCCAUUUUCUGUUUAAGUCUUGUUUCAGUGUCUUUC